CCUACGGGUGGCAGCAGUGAGGAAUAUUGGUCAAUGGGCGGAAGCCUGAACCAGCCAAGUCGCGUGAGGGAUUAAGGCCCUCUGGGUCGUAAACCUCUUUUGUCAGGGAGCAAGGUCGUCCACGUGUGGGCGUAUGGAGAGUACCUGAAGAAAAAGCAUCGGCAAACCCCGUGCCAGCAGCCGCGGUAAUACGGAGGAUGCGAGCGUGAUCGGGAUUUAUUGGGUUUAAGGGGUGCGUAGGCGGGACCUUAAGUCAGCGGUAAAACUACGGUGCUCAACGCCGUAGAGCCGUUGAAACUGGGGCUCUGGAGUGAGCGAGAGGUAGGCGGAAUGCGUGGUGUAGCGGUGAAAUGCAUAGAUAUCACGCAGAACCCCGAUUGCGAAGGCAGCAUACCGGCGCACAACUGACGCUGAGGCACGAAAGUGCGGGUAGCGAACAGGAUUAGAUACCCGUGUAGUC
rnacentral:rRNA from 1 species